CUUGAACGCUGGCGGCAGGCUUAACACAUGCAAGUCGAGCGGAGAUGAGGUGCUUGCGCCUUAUCUUAGCGGCGGACGGGUGAGUAAUGCUUAGGAAUCUGCCUAUUAGUGGGGGACAACAUUCCGAAAGGAAUGCUAAUACCGCAUACGUCCUACGGGAGAAAGCAGGGGAUCUUCGGACCUUGCGCUAAUAGAUGAGCCUAAGUCGGAUUAGCUAGUUGGUGGGGUAAAGGCCUACCAAGGCGACGAUCUGUAGCGGGUCUGAGAGGAUGAUCCGCAACGCUGGGACUGAGACACGGCCCAGACUCCUACGGGAGGCAGCAGUGGGGAAUAUUGGACAAUGGGGGGAACCCCGAUCCAGCCAUGCCGCGUGUGUGAAGAAGGCCUUAUGGUUGUAAAGCACUCUAAGCGAGGAGGAGGCUACUGAGACUAAUACUCUUGGAUAGUGGACGUUACUCGCAGAAUAAGCACCGGCUAACUCUGUGCCAGCAGCCGCCGUAAAAC
rnacentral:rRNA from 1 species